rnacentral:rRNA from 1 species
CGGCCGCGUCGACGUAAGGCCCCUUUCGGGGGUACACGAGUGGCGAACGGGUGAGUAACACGUGAGGAACGUGCCCUUGACUUCGGUAUAGCUCCAGGAAACUGGUGGUAAUCCCGAAUAUGAGCCUGGCCUGCAUGGGUUGGGUUGGAAAGCUUUAUGCGGUCAGGGAUCGUCUCGCGGCCUAUCAGCUUGUUGGUGGGGUAAUGGCCUACCAAGGCAGCGACGGGUAGCCGGCCUGAGAGGGUGACCGGCCACAUUGGGACUGAGAUACGGCCCAGACUCCUACGGGAGGCAGCAGUAGGGAAUCUUCCGCAAUGGACGAAAGUCUGACGGAGCAACGCCGCGUGAGUGAUGAAGGGUUUCGGCUCGUAAAACUCUGUUGUUAAGGAAGAAUACUUGAGGUAGUAACUGGCCUUGAGAUGACGGUACUUAACCAGAAAGCCACGGCUAACUACGUGCCAGCAGCCGCGGUAAUACGUAGGUGGCAAGCGUUAUCCGGAAUUAUUGGGCGUAAAGCGCGCGUAAGGCGGUAAAAUAAGUCUGAUGGUCGACGCGGCCGAGUCGUGGGG